rnacentral:sRNA from 1 species
GAAGCCAACUGAGCAGGAGUACACACCCUCCUUUCCCUCUUGACUUUCUGUAAUCAGCUGCUUCAGGUUUUUGCUGUACUGACUUGCCCUCCAUGAUGGACUGUCCCAUUAUCUACUUCCAUAACAACAACCACUUCUCUACUCAAAAUGGAACUGACAAGCAUCACAAAUCAAAACAACAGGGAAGGAAACCCUAUUCUUGUUGAAUGACCGCACAGCUGAUGGGACUAUGAUUAUGGAGUUCUUUGUGGAUGUAACCAUGCAUAAGAAGUACCUUGAGAGUUCUCAUAAAAUAAAUAAAAACUCUUCUAAUCUCUUGUUCAAAGAUCAAUGCCACCUAUAAGUUGCUUCUGAGUCAGGGGUUGGGG